GCCCCGGGUUCCUCCCGGGGC
rnacentral:misc_RNA from 1 species